rnacentral:rRNA from 1 species
GAUGAACGCUAGCGGCAGGCUUAAUACAUGCAAGUCGUGGGGCAGCAGGUUUGUAGCAAUACAGAUGCUGGCGACCGGCAAACGGGUGCGGAACACGUACAGAACCUUCCUUUGAGCGGGGAAUAGCCCAGAGAAAUUUGGAUUAAUACUCCAUAGUAUAAUGAAGUGGCAUCACUUUAUUAUUAAAGAUUUAUCACUCGAAGAUGGCUGUGCGGCUGAUUAGGUAGUUGGCGGGGUAAAGGCCCACCAAGCCUGCGAUCAGUAACUGGUGUGAGAGCACGACCAGUCACACGGGCACUGAGACACGGGCCCCGACUCCUACGGGAGGCAGCAGUAAGGAAUAUUGGUCAAUGGAGGCAACUCUGAACCAGCCAUGCCGCGUGGAGGAUGAAGGUCCUCUGGAUUGUAAACUUCUUUAUAUGGGCGAAAAAGGCUUUUCUAAGUCGUCUGACGGUACCAUAUGAAUAAGCACCGGCUAACUCCGUGCCAGCAGCCG